rnacentral:rRNA from 1 species
CCCUUAGAUGUUCUGGGCCGCACGCGCGCUACACUGACGAAGUCAGCGAGCAUGUCCUACGCCGACAGGUGCGGGGAAUCUUGUCAAACUUCGUCGUGAUGGGGAUUGAUUAUUGAAAUUCUUGAUCAUCAACGAGGAACUCCUAGUAAGCGCAAGUCAGCAGCUUGCGUUGAUUACGUCCCUGCCCUUUGUACACACCGCCCGUCGCUACUACCGAUUGAAUGGUUUAGUGAGAUCUUCGGAUUGGCGCCACUGCGGCUCAGCAAUGGGCUCGGUGGAUGCCGAAAAGUUGAUCAAACUUGAUCAUUUAGAGGAAGUAAAAGUCGUAACA